GGCCCCUUCGUCUAGCGGUUAGGACGCCGCCCUCUCAAGGCGGAGAUCACGGGUUCGAAUCCCGUAGGGGCCG
rfam:Elusimicrobia bacterium RIFOXYA2_FTLL_58_8 rifoxya2_full_scaffold_1202, whole genome shotgun sequence.